rnacentral:misc_RNA from 1 species
GGAAGGAUCAUUAACUAAUGUGAGCGCAAGCUCAUAAUAAAUAAAUGCCAGUGUUGUUUAUGUUAAAAAGCACGAAAAUAGUAUACAACUUUUAACAAUGGAUCUCUUGGCUCUUGCGUCGAUGAAGAACGCAGCAAGCUGCGAUACGUAGUGUGAAUUGCAUAAUUCCGCGAAUCAUCGAAUUUUUGAACGCACAUUGCACUCUAUUAGUAUAGAGUAUACCUGUUUGAGAACCGGAUCAUUCUCAUUGGGAUUUGACGCUGAUCAUGUCCUUAAAAAGUGUCGUUGCAAGUGGGAAAAAUUAAAGUCAUCGAUCGCACUUGCAUUAUUUUUUUGGUCUCAAACAGGUAAGGUUACCCGCUGAACUUAAGCAUAUUAAUAAGCGGAGGAAAAGAAACUAACGAGGAUUCCCUUAGUAACGGCGAGUGAAGUGGGAAAAGCUCAAUUUAAAAUCCAAGGGCUUGACCCUUUGAAUUGUAGUUUAAAGGCACGGUUAUAAUGGAAGCUGCUGGCAAAAGUCCCUUGGAACAGGGCACCACAGAGGGUGAUAGUCCCGUAGUGUCAGUAGGAUUCCUAGUCGGCUAGUGUCUGGAGUCGGAUUGUUUGGGAUUGCAGUCCUAAGUGGGUGGUAAAUUUCAUCCAAGGCUAAAUAUUGGCAAGAGACCGAUAGCGAACAAGUACCGUGAGGGAAAGAUGAAAAGCACUUUGAAAAGAGGGUUAAAAGUACGUGAAAUUGUUAAAAGGGAAACGUUUGAGAUCAGUGUUGGAUAGCAAUAUCCUGGUCAGCGUCGGUUUCACCUGCUGUAAAAGGGACUGGUCAAGGUAGCUGCUUUCGGGCAGUAUUAUAGGACCGUUUGAUGCAGUGGGAGGGACCGAACCGUUUGCUGACAAAAUGGUCUUAAACGACCCGUCUUGAAACACGGACCAAGGAGUCUAACAUAUAUGCGAGUAUUUGGGUGGCAAACCCAAGUGCGUAAUGAAGGUGAAUAAUGGGAUCCGUAAGGUGCACCAUUGGCCGGGCUAGUUUGCAUAUGCAGCUAGGCUAGAGCUCGAGCAUAUCUGUUAGGACCCGAAAGAUGGUGAACUAUGCCUGAAUAGGGUGAAGCCAGAGGAAACUCUGGUGGAGGCUCGUAGCGGUUCUGACGUGCAAAUCGAUCGUCAAAUUUGGGUAUAGGGGCGAAAGACUAAUCGAACCAUCUAGUAGCUGGUUCCCUC